GCACGCUCAAUCGAGCCACGACUCUCGAAAGCAUUCCAACAAGUGUCCCUCUUCUCUCGCGUUUCCGUCUCUUCAACUUCUGAAUGCGCACUGACCCGCCUCCGGCACUUCAGUCGGCCGUUUUUGACUCCCUACUUCAAUUGAAGGGUUCUCGUUGCGGUAAUACCGGUAACACUCUCGAGUUACGAGUACUUUCACUCCUCCAUCACGUGCCCUGAACUGGUGUUCGAUUCUCGUCUUGGGCAUCUCAUUGAAGCUUCGCGAAGCUCCCCACAGCAACCCGACUCGAAAUCUCCAGGAAUUCCGCGUUCGCCCACGAAUCUCACAGUUCCACGACUAUGCGUCCCUCAGCCGAUUUCCAGAGCACUGAGGUCUUCAGGAAGAACAGCGUCCAGGCUGUUCUGCCGAAGGAGAAGAAAGCCGAACUCUUGACAUUUCAAGAGUCGAAGGAACGCCAACAGGAAAAAAAGCAAAAAGAUAUCUGGGGUCCGAUUUGGAGAGACAGGAAGAAUUUCAAUGAAAUGCAUUUCUGUUGAAUCUCCGCCCCGGGCUUCUACCGAUUCAAGGAUAGAAGUGAAUCGUCAGCUAUGGAAACUAAGCACUGAAAUUGGAAAAAAAUCGGAUCCGGCAAGACUUCAUCAAAAUUUCCAAGAACGAAUCAUGUCGGUGUCUGGGGGAGUUUUGGAAGCCUUUGAACAGCAUGCCCUCGCUCGUAUUCGAAAAUAAAGCUCAGUCAGUAAGCUUGGCUUGCCAUAGCUAGCAUUCACUGCCAUGAC